rnacentral:ncRNA from 1 species
GCUGAAAUGCGGGUUGUAGUUAAUGAAGGCAAAGCCCCGCGCCUGAUCGAUGCAGUGGAACAGCGGGUUCCAGUCGAAAAGGGCGAGCAUCGUGCUGGGCAGGGUGUUGGCCACGAACAUCUUGCCGCUGGCGAUCAUGUUGGCGCGC